GUGAUUUGCCUCUGGCAUUAAACUUUAUCCACAUACACCUGUGCAUCGUUGAGUAUGAGCAAUCAUACUUACUUUACAAACAUCUGUGUAAUGAACGUCAUAUUAUUAUAACAUAAUA
rnacentral:misc_RNA from 1 species